UACAGAGGUGGCAAGCGUUGUUCGGAAUUACUGGGCGUAAAGGGCGCGUAGGCGGCGCAACAAGUCACUUGUGAAAUCUCCGGGCUUAACCCGGAGCGGUCAAGUGAUACUGUCGUGCUAGAGUGCGGAAGGGGCUACUGGAAUUCUCGGUGUAGCGGUGAAAUGCGUAGAUAUCGAGAGGAACACCUGCGGCGAAGGCGGGUAGCUGGGCCGACACUGACGCUGAUGCGCGAAAGCCAGGGGAGCGAACGGG
rnacentral:rRNA from 1 species